GAUGAAGAACGCAGCGAAAUGCGAUACGUAAUGUGAAUUGCAGAAUUCAGUGAAUCAUCGAGUCUUUGAACGCACAUUGCGCCCUCUGGUAUUCCGGAGGGCAUGCCUGUCCGAGCGUCAUUGCUGCCCUCAAGCACGGCUUGUGUGUUGGGCCCCGUCCUCCUUCCGGGGGACGGGUCCGAAAGGCAGCGGCGGCACCGCGUCCGGUCCUCAAGCGUAUGGGGCUUUGUCACUCGCUUUGUAGGCCUGGCCGGCGCUUGCCGAUCAACCAAACUUUUUAUCAGGUUGACCUCGGAUCAGGUAGGGAUACCCGCUGAACUUAAGAAUAUCAAUAAGCGGAGGA
rnacentral:misc_RNA from 1 species